rnacentral:tRNA from 1 species
UCCUGGGUGGCUCAGUCAGUUAAAGCAUCUGACUUUGGCUCAGGUCAUAAUCUUGCGGUUUGUGGGUUCAAGUCCUGCUUCAGGCU